GACGACCUUCUUCCUCCGUCCAGCCGCCUCAGUGACCAUCGUCAAGUCUGCCACAGGAGGAUAUUUUUUGAGGUUAACCUGCUUUCUCCCUCGCAGGUCAAUUAUUACUGUUUGUAUAAACUUGUUAAAUCUUAGAAUUUCCGCAUGUGUUAGAAAUGUUUAUUUGAUUUGGGUCUGUAAACUAAAUUAUUAUUUUGGGACCUGUAAACUUAAUAUGCUAUGCAUGUUUGAUGGAUUGGAUGAGGGAGCUGAGCUCCCAUUUAUUAUUAA